rnacentral:rRNA from 1 species
UGGGGAAUCUUGGACAAUGGGCGCAAGCCUGAUCCAGCGACGCCGCGUGGGUGACGAAGGCCUUCGGGUUGUAAAGCCCUUUCACCGGGGACGAUGAUGACGGUACCCGGAGAAGAAGCACCGGCUAACUCCGUGCCAGCAGCCGCGGUAAGACGGAGGGUGCUAGCGUUGUUCGGAAUCACUGGGCGUAAAGGGCGCGUAGGCGGCGGCAAAAGUCGGGUGUGAAAGCCCGGGGCUCAACCCCGGAAUUGCACUCGAAACUGCGUUGCUGGAGGUCGGAAGAGGAGAGUGGAAUACCCAGUGUAGAGGUGAAAUUCGUAGAUAUUGGGUGGAACACCAGUGGCGAAAGCGGCUCUCUGGUCCGAACCUGACGCUGAGGCGCGAAAGCGUGGGGAGCAAACAGGAUUAGAUACCCGUGUAGUCC